rnacentral:ribozyme from 1 species
CGUAAAGAAAGAAAGAAAGAAAGAAAGAGAAAGAGACGCAAUAACAAUACUAUCUCGGCAUAUUUCUGUUUUGUAGGUUGUUUUC